UAAUGAAGAAAAAAACACGAUCGAAGAUAAACCUUCGAAAGAGCAUGGAUAAGAAGUAAUUUAGAGGUAGUAUAUAGAUUAUUAUUUUUUUUGUUUUUUUGAGGGAUUGAGAUAGUGUUGUAUUACUUAGCCAAUCCAACCCUUUCCAAUUAUACAAAUCAACUGUGUUUUCUUUUUGGUAGAUGUAUAUAUCCGUGACGUCCAUGUUACAAAGAAUAGAUGAAUCAUGUUUUUGAUAAUUUAAAAUUUAAAAGGUACGAAAAAAAGAAGGUGAAGAAAUGACAAAAAGAAGAAGAAAAAAGGGUGGGUGGGUCGGGUCACAUGGCCAUGUUCUGGUGUUGCCGAUCAACAGAGAAACAUUGGCGCGUCCCGCGUUUUCAUGAACACUGCCGGUCCCUACUAGUCUCCUUUAUGUACACAUCUGAUCUCUUUGUAUGUCUACAUGCAUACACACAUAUAAUUUGUUAUAAAGUAGCACAUACAAUAAAUAAAUACACGUGCACAACUGAAUAUACACGAAAAUCAUCAAAUUCGUUUUACAUGAUAGUAGAAUACAGUACUAAAUGAUGGAACAAAAGAGCAACAAUAAAAUGAAACUAAUACCUAC
rnacentral:lncRNA from 1 species